GUCUUGACAUCCUCUGACAACCCUAGAGAUAGGGCUUUCCCUUCGGGGACAGAGUGACAGGUGGUGCAUGGUUGUCGUCAGCUCGUGUCGUGAGAUGUUGGGUUAAGUCCCGCAACGAGCGCAACCCUUGAUCUUAGUUGCCAGCAUUCAGUUGGGCACUCUAAGGUGACUGCCGGUGACAAACCGGAGGAAGGUGGGGAUGACGUCAAAUCAUCAUGCCCCUUAUGACCUGGGCUACACACGUGCUACAAUGGACAGAACAAAGGGCUGCAAGACCGCAAGGUUUAGCCAAUCCCAUAAAUCUGUUCUCAGUUCGGAUCGCAGUCUGCAACUCGACUGCGUGAAGCUGGAAUCGCUAGUAAUCGCGGAUCAGCAUGCCGCGGUGAAUACGUUCCCGGGCCUUGUACACACCGCCCGUCACACCACGAGAGUUUGCAACACCCGAAGUCGGUGCCGGUAACCUUUAUGGAGCCAGCCGCCGAAGGUGG
rnacentral:rRNA from 1 species